rnacentral:rRNA from 1 species
UACAGAGGUCUCAAGCGUUGUUCGGAUUCAUUGGGCGUAAAGGGUGCGUAGGCGGCGCGAUAAGUCGGGUGUGAAAUCUCGGAGCUUAACUCCGAAAUUGCAUUCGAUACUGCCGUGCUCGAGGACUGGAGAGGAGACUGGAAUUCAUGGUGUAGCAGUGAAAUGCGUAGAGAUCAUGAGGAAGACCAGUGGCGAAGGCGGGUCUCUGGACAGUUCCUGACACUGAGGCACGAAGGCCAGGGGAGCAAACGGG